CCUACGGGAGGCAGCAGUGAGGAAUAUUGGUCAAUGGUCGGGAGCCUGAACCAGCCAAGUCGCGUGAGGGAGGAAGGUACAGAGUAUCGUAAACCUCUUUUGUCAGGGAACAAAGGCGGGGACGUGUCCCCGUCUGAGUGUACCUGAAGAAAAAGCAUCGGCUAACUCCGUGCCAGCAGCCGCGGUAAUACGGAGGAUGCGAGCGUUAUCCGGAUUUAUUGGGUUUAAAGGGUGCGCAGGCGGUCGGUAAAGUCAGCGGUAAAAUCCCGGGGCUCAACCCCGUCCCGCCGUUGAAACUGGCUGUCUUGAGUGAGAGAGAAGUAUGCGGAAUGCGCGGUGUAGCGGUGAAAUGCAUAGAUAUCGCGCAGAACUCCGAUUGCGAAGGCAGCAUGCCGGCGCCAAACUGACGCUGAGGCACGAAAGCGUGGGUAUCGAACAGGAUUAGAUACCCUUGUAGUC
rnacentral:rRNA from 1 species